GUAGGUGGCAAGCGUUGUCCGGAAUUAUUGGGCGUAAAGCGCGCGCAGGCGGUUCUUUAAGUCUGACGUGAAAGCCCACGGCUCAACCGUGGAGGGUCAUUGGAGACUGGAGAACUUGAGUACAGAAGAGGAAAGCGGAAUUCCACGUGUAGCGGUGAAAUGCGUAGAGAUGUGGAGGAACACCAGUGGCGAAGGCGGCUUUCUGGUCUGUAACUGACGCUGAGGCGCGAAAGCGUGGGGAGCAAACAGGGAUUAGAUACCCUGGUAGUCCACGCCGUAAACGAUGAGUGCUAAGUGUUAGGGGGGUUUUCCGCCCCCUUAGUGCUGCAGCUAACGCAUUAAGCACUCCGCCUGGGGAGUACGGCCGCAAGGCUG
rnacentral:rRNA from 1 species